rnacentral:RNase_P_RNA from 1 species
UUGUGGAAAUGGAUAGUCGCUAUAUUUUAUAGAGGAAAGUCCGGACUCCAUGGAGGAAAGGUGCCAGAUAACGUCUGGCGGCGUGUUAUACGCUAGGGAAAGUGCAACAGAAAAUACACCGCCUUAGGGUAAGGGUGAAAUGGCGAGGUAAGAGCUCACCGCAUGACUGGUAACAGUGAUGGCAUGGUAAACCCCACCUGGAGCAAGAUCAAAUAGAAUAACGCGUUCCUCCACGCUAUGUUAUUCGGGUAGAUCGCUUGACGUUUACGGCGACGUAAAUGCUAGAUGAAUGGCUAUCAGGACAGUUGUCUUACAGAAUCCGGCUUAUUAUUUUCACAAAAGC